CCUGACGACCAUAGAGAACUGGAACCACCUGAUCCCAUCCCGAACUCAGAAGUGAAACGGUUCAUCGCCG
rnacentral:rRNA from 1 species